UUUUUUUCUUUUUGAGCUACUUUUCAAAAAAUAUGGAGCGCGAAAUACCAGCACGGCGUCAAUCCCAGUUAAAAAGGCAAAUUAUACGACUGACGAAAACAACUUCGAGCAAUGCGGUUCAAGGCGAGUCAGUUUAUCCAGUGAAUACACUAUAGAAUCACGUAGGAUAAGUGUGUCAAUUUGCAGAGUCCAACCAAGAUGUGUAUGAAGUUGUGUGCUGCAGUCACUGCGAAAUCUUCCAAAAACAACUAGAAUCAUUGAAUGCCAAGGUCGACAAGCUUCAAAGGGUAGUGGAAACUCAGAACGCUGCAAUUAUGGAUGCAAUAGCUGGGCAGAACGUGGCUACUGAGCAACUGGUUCGCCAAGAAUCACAGAAGGCACCAGUUGUAAAAUACUUCCCGAUAUGUAACAUAUCAGAAAUGCAGCAGUUGGAAAAUAAGAUAACAAUAGAGAUGUCUAUGAAACUGCCAUUUCUUCUAUACUUCAAUUUAACCUAAAAAAUAUAACACUGGCAUAAGGAGUGAUGUUAUUAAUGCAAUAAAUGUCGAUGGAUCGCAUGGUAAAGUUGGACUCAAAUCUUUUAAAAACUUUUACCACACGCUUACAGGAGCUAUAGCGAAGUUGCCUUUGAAAGGAUUGACGCCAGAAGAGUCUCUAAGGAAAGCCUUGCAAUUUGAGAAAUCAAAACAUUUAAAAAAUAUAUAUAGACAAAAAACCAAAAUGAUACCUUAAAUUAAGGGAUUUUUAACUUAUAACCUAAGACGAAAUGGAUAAAUGAAAUGGAUUUUAUUUUUAACUUAUAACUUAAAACGAAAUAGUUCAAAUGAAAUGAAUUUAAAAAUUUUACUUUUAAAAAAGUUAUUGACAAACCAAAAUGAAUCUUUAAGUUAACGUAUUUUUAACUUAUAACUUAAAACGAAAUGGUACAAAUGAAAUGAAUUUAAACAUUUUACAUUUAAACAAAUUAUAGACAAAAAACCAAAAACCAAAAUAAAACUAUAA